rnacentral:lncRNA from 1 species
GUCUUAUUCAUUACAAAGGAGCAUUUUAGGACUUUUGCAUUUACAAUUAACAAGUUUACAAGGACAACCAACACUUAUUCACUUUAUCACUUACAAGGAACUUCGUACUUAAUGAGCUUAUUUCCUACUUCUACAGAUUUCUCUGUUUAGCAAUUCCCAUGCAGCUGGAAGGGGCCUGUUUAUCUCAGCUCUUCCUUUGUACCUACAGCCAGCUUGUGCCUCCCCAGGAUGGAGCCACCUCUUGGACAUGAUCGUAAUGAAAAGGCAGAUUAACCCGAUGAUGAUGAUGGAGACCAACUUGUCAACUCAGUGCUCUUAGUUAAAUGACACCCACCACGAACCUUGGAGCAGCAUUUGCAGUGUUGGCUGCCUGUGUUAUUACAGUUGGCUUCAUUUAAUAAACUGGCUGUCAGCAUGUUAAUCCUGAGUCAAGUGGUGGAUUAUCGAGCUGUAACCCAAGAUAUCACAUCUAGCCACGAAAAUAAAUGCCAACUGACAUGUCUACUAAAAUUUAUGGGCAGCCAGUGAAGUGCAGUGGAUUUACAAGGAGCUGCCCUGAGGCUUCAUCAAAUGAGGCAACUGAGCACUGUUGAAAUUAUUGUUUUGUUUACUGCCCAUUAAACUUCCAAUGGGCAGACUGCCAAACUGGGGCUGAUCUACCCGGGACCAUACUUGGGUAAGUAACCCCCUUUCUUGUGACCCUUUCUGUCUCAAGUCCAUCUUGUGCACAUGCCC